rnacentral:tRNA from 2 species
GCCCCGUUAGCUCAGCUGGAUAGAGCGUCCCCCUCCUAAGGGGAAGGUCGCAAGUUCGAAUCCUGCACGGGGCACCA